CCCCAACUAUACUGCGGAUAAUAUCACGUGUACUUGUCUACUUGCUGCAGCAGGUUAGGUUAGGUAACCGCGCGCAGAGUCCGGUCCGUCAGUCCGGUCCGUACAGUGAAAAUCCCCGCGCGUUAAAUCGCGUAACUUCAUCCGUAACUGAUUCGGCACGAAGGGAGAAGGGCUCGAGUCGAUUUUCUUUUCGAUUUUCCCCGGUUCGCAAACAAUUUUACCACAUAACUUCCCCGUUUUUCGUUUCUGUAGUUUUCAAACUUCUUUUUUUCACGAGUACCGACUCGAGUACUUCCCAGGGACGCAUAGACCGGUCGAGUUACAUUUUGUCUACGGUAUAGUGGUAUAUGAGUGUACGGGUAUGUGCGCGCG